rnacentral:lncRNA from 1 species
AUAAUUUUCAAAAAUAUGAAAAAAUAUAAUACAAUUUUGACGCUGAAAUCAUUAAUCUUAAAAUCAACAAAAAGUUAUUGAAAUUCAAUAUUCUUUUACGUUAAAGGCUCACUCACUACUAACAAGUACUAUACACACAACAACACAUUAUUCAAAAAAACAAACACAAAAUAUAUUAAUCUAUCACCUACUACUACAUAACACACUAAAAACACCAAAUAAUGUUUUUAACAAAUAAAAACGAUAACAUAAUUACAUUAUCCAAAAAAUCAUGCUCUUAGCAAUAAUAAAACAAUAUUCCG